rnacentral:rRNA from 1 species
GAGGAUCAUUAGUGAAUAUAGGACGUCCAACUUAACUUGGAGUCCGAACUCUCACUUUCUAACCCUGUGCACUUGUUUGGGAUAGUAACUCUCGCAAGAGAGCGAACUCCUAUUCACUUAUAAACACAAAGUCUAUGAAUGUAUUAAAUUUUAUAACAAAAUAAAACUUUCAACAACGGAUCUCUUGGCUCUCGCAUCGAUGAAGAACGCAGCGAAAUGCGAUAAGUAAUGUGAAUUGCAGAAUUCAGUGAAUCAUCGAAUCUUUGAACGCACCUUGCGCUCCAUGGUAUUCCGUGGAGCAUGCCUGUUUGAGUGUCAUGAAUACUUCAACCCUCCUCUUUCUUAAUGAUUGAAGAGGUGUUUGGUUUCUGAGCGCUGCUGGCCUUUACGGUCUAGCUCGUUCGUAAUGCAUUAGCAUCCGCAAUCGAACUUCGGAUUGACUUGGCGUAAUAGACUAUUCGCUGAGGAAUUCUAGUCUUCGGAUUAGAGCCGGGUUGGGUUAAAGGAAGCUUCUAAUCAGAAUGUCUACAUUUUAAGAUUAGAUCUCAAAUCAGGUAGGACUACCCGCUGAACUUAAGCAUAUCAAUAAGCGGAGGAAAAGAAACUAACAAGGAUUCCCCUAGUAGCGGCGAGCGAAGCGGGAAGAGCUCAAAUUUAUAAUCUGGCACCUUCGGUGUCCGAGUUGUAAUCUCUAGAAAUGUUUUCCGCGUUGGACCGCACACAAGUCUGUUGGAAUACAGCGGCAUAGUGGUGAGACCCCCGUAUAUGGUGCGGACGCCCAGCGCUUUGUGAUACAUUUUCGAAGAGUCGAGUUGUUUGGGAAUGCAGCUCAAAUUGGGUGGUAAAUUCCAUCUAAAGCUAAAUAUUGGCGAGAGACCGAUAGCGAACAAGUACCGUGAGGGAAAGAUGAAAAGCACUUUGGAAAGAGAGUUAACAGUACGUGAAAUUGUUGGAAGGGAAACGCUUGAAGUCAGACUUGCUUGCCGAGCAAUCGGUUUGCAGGCCAGCAUCAGUUUUCCGGGAUGGAUAAUGGUAGAGAGAAGGUAGCAGUUUCGGCUGUGUUAUAGCUCUCUGCUGGAUACAUCUUGGGGGACUGAGGAACGCAGUGUGCCUUUGGCGGGGGUUUCGACCUCUUCACACUUAGGAU